UACGUAGGGUGCAAGCGUUAUCCGGAAUUAUUGGGCGUAAAGCGUUGGUAGGCGGUUUGUUAAGUUUGUAGUUAAAUUCGGUCGCUCAACGAUCGGUCCGCUACAAAAACUGGCAAGCUAGAGAUUGGAAGAGGCAACUGGAAUUCCGCAUGUAGGGGUAAUAUCCGUAGAUAUGCGGAGGAACACCAAAAGCGAAGGCAGGUUGCUGGUCCAUUUCUGACGCUGAGCAACGAAAGCGUGGGGAGCAAACAGG
rnacentral:rRNA from 1 species